rnacentral:rRNA from 1 species
UACAGAGGGUGCAAGCGUUGUUCGGAAUUACUGGGCGUAAAGCGCGUGUAGGUGGCGUGAUAAGUCGGGUGUGAAAUCCCUUGGCUUAACCAAGGAAGUGCACUCGAUACUGUUUCGCUUGAGUGUUGGAGGGGAUGGCGGAAUUCCCGGUGUAGAGGUGAAAUUCGUAGAUAUCGGGAGGAACACCUGUGGCGAAGGCGGCCAUCUGGACAACUACUGACACUGAGACGCGAAAGCGUGGGUAGCAAACAGG